ACCAGUUUGGCUCAGUGGCUAGAGCGUCGGCCUGUGGACUGAAGAGUCACAGGUUCGAUUCCCGUCAAGGGUA
rnacentral:tRNA from 1 species